rnacentral:rRNA from 1 species
GAUGAACGCUGGCGAGAUGCUUUACACAUGCAAGUCGUACGAGAGUUUUUAAUUCAAGUGGCGGACGGGUGAGUAACACGUAAGAAUUUGCCUUUAGGAGGGGGACAACAAUUGGAAACGAUUGCUAAUACCCCAUAUGCUUUCGAGUGAAAUGGAUUUUUCCGCCUAAAGAGAAGCUUGCGGCUGAUUAGCUUGUUGGUAAGGUAAUGGCUUACCAAGGCGACGAUCAGUAUCUGGUGUAGAGGACGAUCAGACACACUGGAACUGAGACACGGUCCAGACUCCUACGGGAGGCAGCAGUGGGGAAUUUUCCGUCAAUGGGCGAAAGCCUGACGGAGCAAUCUCGCGUGAGGGAUGACGGCCUAU